GUCCUCAGAAAAUGACAAGCAUGUGGGGCGUAAGUAGCUAAGCAGUAAUGGUAUAGUAUCAGCAAUGACCAUUACGCCGAAACUGAUUGCUAUAAUCGUGCGGACGUUAAAAUCAUGU
rnacentral:ribozyme from 1 species